rnacentral:rRNA from 1 species
UACAGAGGUCCCAAGCGUUGUUCGGAUUCACUGGGCGUAAAGGGGGCGUAGGUGGUGAGGUAAGUCCGAUGUGAAAGCUCCGAGCUCAACUCGGAAAUUGCAUUAGAAACUACCUUGCUAGAGGGUUGGAGGGGGGACUGGAAUUCUCGGUGUAGCAGUGAAAUGCGUAGAUAUCGAGAGGAACACCAGUGGCGAAGGCGAGUCCCUGGACAACUCCUGACACUGAGGCACGAAAGCUAGGGGAGCAAACGGG